UGAGUUUGAUCUUGGCUCAGAUUGAACGCUGGCGGCAUGCCUUACACAUGCAAGUCGAACGGCAGCACGGGUGCUUGCACCUGGUGGCGAGUGGCGAACGGGUGAGUAAUACAUCGGAACAUGUCCUGUAGUGGGGGAUAGCCCGGCGAAAGCCGGAUUAAUACCGCAUACGAUCUACGGAUGAAAGCGGGGGACCUUCGGGCCUCGCGCUAUAGGGUUGGCCGAUGGCUGAUUAGCUAGUUGGUGGGGUAAAGGCCUACCAAGGCGACGAUCAGUAGCUGGUCUGAGAGGGCGACCAGCCACACUGGGACUGAGACACGGCCCAGACUCCUACGGGAGGCAGCAGUGGGGAAUUUUGGACAAUGGGCGAAAGCCUGAUCCAGCAAUGCCGCGUGUGUGAAGAAGGCCUUCGGGUUGUAAAGCACUUUUGUCCGGAAAGAAAUCCUUGGCUCUAAUACAGUCGGGGGAUGACGGUACCGGAAGAAUAAGCACCGGCUAACUACGUGCCAGCAGCCGCGGUAAUACGUAGGGUGCGAGCGUUAAUCGGAAUUACUGGGCGUAAAGCGUGCGCAGGCGGUUUGCUAAGACCGAUGUGAAAUCCCCGGGCUCAACCUGGGAACUGCAUUGGUGACUGGCAGGCUAGAGUAUGGCAGAGGGGGGUAGAAUUCCACGUGUAGCAGUGAAAUGCGUAGAGAUGUGGAGGAAUACCGAUGGCGAAGGCAGCCCCCUGGGCCAAUACUGACGCUCAUGCACGAAAGCGUGGGAAGCAAACAGGAUUAGAUACCCUGGUAGUCCACGCCCUAAACGAUGUCAACUAGUUGUUGGGGAUUCAUUUCCUUAGUAACGUAGCUAACGCGUGAAGUUGACCGCCUGGGGAGUACGGUCGCAAGAUUAAAACUCAAAGGAAUUGACGGGGACCCGCACAAGCGGUGGAUGAUGUGGAUUAAUUCGAUGCAACGCGAAAAACCUUACCUACCCUUGACAUGGUCGGAAUCCCGCUGAGAGGUGGGAGUGCUCGAAAGAGAACCGGCGCACAGGUGCUGCAUGGCUGUCGUCAGCUCGUGUCGUGAGAUGUUGGGUUAGGUCCCGCAACGAGCGCAACCCUUGUCCUUAGUUGCUACGCAAGAGCACUCUAAGGAGACUGCCGGUGACAAACCGGAGGAAGGUGGGGAUGACGUCAAGUCCUCAUGGCCCUUAUGGGUAGGGCUUCACACGUCAUACAAUGGUCGGAACAGAGGGUUGCCAACCCGCGAGGGGGAGCUAAUCCCAGAAAACCGAUCGUAGUCCGGAUUGCACUCUGCAACUCGAGUGCAUGAAGCUGGAAUCGCUAGUAAUCGCGGAUCAGCAUGCCGCGGUGAAUACGUUCCCGGGUCUUGUACACACCGCCCGUCACACCAUGGGAGUGGGUUUUACCAGAAGUGGCUAGUCUAACCGCAAGGAGGACGGUCACCACGGUAGGAUUCAUGACUGGGGUGAAGUCGUAACAAGGUAA
rnacentral:rRNA from 1 species